rnacentral:rRNA from 1 species
AGUGAACGCUGGCGGUAGGCCUAACACAUGCAAGUCGAACGGCAGCACAGUAAGAGCUUGCUCUUACGGGUGGCGAGUGGCGGACGGGUGAGGAAUACAUCGGAAUCUACUUUUUCGUGGGGGAUAACGUAGGGAAACUUACGCUAAUACCGCAUAUGACCUACGGGUGAAAGCAGGGGAUCUUCGGACCUUGCGCGAUUGAAUGAGCCGAUGUCGGAUUAGCUAGUUGGCGGGGUAAAGGCCCACCAAGGCGACGAUCCGUAGCUGGUCUGAGAGGAUGAUCAGCCACACUGGAACUGAGACACGGUCCAGACUCCUACGGGAGGCAGCAGUGGGGAAUAUUGGACAAUGGGCGCAAGCCUGAUCCAGCCAUACCGCGUGGGUGAAGAAGGCCUUCGGGUUGUAAGGCCCUUUCGUUGGGAAAGAAAAGCAGCAGGUUAAUACCCCGCUGUUCUGACGGUACCCAAAGAAUAAGCACCGGCUAACUUCGUG